rnacentral:lncRNA from 1 species
GCCUAAUUGUGAUAUCUCUAACCUUAUUUUAGGGUUCUAAGAGAGCAUAAAGGUUUUAGUCAUAAUAAACCCCUAAUUUGGGGGAUGGGUAGAAUGAAGAUGGUCUAGGGAAUGUAAAAAUAGCACAUAAUAAGGCACCCCAAAAAAAAAAAAAAAAAAAAAAAAAAAAAAAAAAGAGGUGCCAUAAGUGCUAAGGUUGGAAAUAAGAAAAAUAGAUUGCAUAUGUGUUAAGGCUGAAAAACAAAUAAAGCCUAGGCUAAGUAUAAGUUUUUCUAGGAUGAAUGCUCUCUUAUAACCUUAAGUUUGAAAUCCCAGAAAAACCAUGAUUUCUUGUCUAGUCAGGCCCCAUUACAAGCCAAUAAAAGUCCUUAGUGAUCCACCAAAUGUAAGUAAGAAUAACUUUAAUUGAGAUGAAGUGCAAAAUUUGGGAAUCUUAAUUGCAGGUCGUAUAAAUUUUAAACACUCACCCCAGACACUUGUGCGUAGAGAUAAACACUAACCUUGUGAGGAAAGUGAGGCAAACCAACUUGAUUGAUUUCCGAUACUAACCAAUUUCAUCUUGAUGUAAUUUAUGCUUCCAUUGUGGGAUUAUGACAAAUGCGGAAAGGACCAGUUGGAAGAAUCUGAGAAAUUGUAGCCAUUGAAAGUGUUGAAGCAUUCGGAGCCUGCUUUUAAUUUGAUUUGCUUGGGGACAAGCAAAGUUUUAAUUUGGG